rnacentral:rRNA from 1 species
UACAGAGGGGGCAAGCGUUAUUCGGAAUUAUUGGGCGUAAAGGGCGCGUAGGCGGCUUUUCAAGUGACGGGUGAAAUCCCUCGGCUUAACCGAGGAACUGCCUGUCAGACUGGAAGGCUUGAGACCGGGAGAGGUGAGUGGAAUUCCCAGUGUAGCGGUGAAAUGCGUAGAUAUUGGGAGGAACACCAGUGGCGAAGGCGGCUCACUGGACCGGAACUGACGCUCAUGCACGAAAGCGUGGGGAGCAAACAGG